GUGUGUGUGUGUGUGUGUAUUUUUUUUAUUACCCUGUCUUUCAGGUGAACCUUUUUGAGCAUAAAAUAUUUUUUCUCCUUUAAAAAAUAAAACCACUCGGUCAGGCUUGUGAAAUGAUAAGGCAUGGCUCCUCCAGUGGUCCACACAAGCCAAGGAGCCAUGAAUUCUCGGGGGGAGCAAAGUCACCUACGGAGAGGCCCCACCGCCUGCUGGGCCGUGGACAUGUCCACCAUGAGACUCUCCGAGGCCCUGGGCGUCUCAGCACUCAGGGAAGCAAGCUCUGCAUAACGGCAGGAGCCAUCCCUCAGGAUUUCCACGGGGAAGUGAAGGAAGCAGAUGUUGGCCAGCCACUGCAGUCUUUCCAUCGCCAGGAAGCAAGAAGAGCGGAAGAAACUUUAGAUUAUGCGCAGCACAAAUUAAUAUCUAAAUGUGAGUGCACUCUGGGAAUGAAGAGGUGCAGGUACCGACACUCUUCAUUUACUGACCAACCUGGUUCGGGCUUCCGACCCUCCGCCUGGACCUAUGAUGCAUCUUUUUUUGUUGUUGUACAGUUCUAUACAUCUUCUUGAUACAGCCUCAAUGUCAUUUUUUUUGUACAGAACACCUUGCUGGUUGCACUGUACAGUAUAGUCCUGUAGUUUUAUGAUGUUAUUCAUUACAGUGCUGCAUGUAAGAGUUAUGCAAAUAAAAGCAAACUCACCAAGUUGGAGUUUCCUUUGCCCAUUUCUUUAUUUGAAAAUUGUAAUGUUCAUACUAUAUACAC
rnacentral:lncRNA from 1 species